UGCUUCUUUCGUGUGUUUAGC
rnacentral:piRNA from 1 species